GACGAACGCUGGCGGCGUGCUUAACACAUGCAAGUCGAACGGAAAGGCCCUGCUUUUGUGGGGUGCUCGAGUGGCGAACGGGUGAGUAACACGUGAGUAACCUGCCCUUGACUUUGGGAUAACUUCAGGAAACUGGGGCUAAUACCGGAUAGGAGCUCCUGCUGCAUGGUGGGGGUUGGAAAGUUUCGGCGGUUGGGGAUGGGCUCGCGGCUUAUCAGCUUGUUGGUGGGGUAGUGGCUUACCAAGGCUUUGACGGGUAGCCGGCCUGGGAGGGUGACCGGGCACAGUGGGACAGAGGAGAGGCCCAGAGGGCGACGGGAGGAAACAGUGGGGGAUAGAGCACACGGGGCGGAGGCCGGAUGCAGCAACGCCGCGUGGGGAAGGACGGCCUUCGGGUAGUAAAACGGUUUCGCCGGAGACGAAGCGUGGGUGAGGGUAAUGGGUAAAGAAGCACGGCCAAAUUAGGU
rnacentral:rRNA from 1 species